GAGUGAUGCCCGAUCGCAUCAAUCCAGCGGGAGAGAGGGGACACCCUGAACUGGCGGAUACCCCCGUCGGACACCCGUCAAAAAAUCGCCAAAAAAUCCUAAAAAAUUCUCCCGGCCCCGGGGUGGCCCGCGGAGCCGCCCCGAGGCUCGCGCCGCCGGUUUUGACCUUUCAAAAGAGAGAGCUGAUUCUAGAGAAACACGCACUUUCUGUGAUUUGAAAAGUCAUGCAUCCUAUGGGGAAAAUGGAUGAGAGAAUAAUUAAGUGCAAAUUUGGUUGAAACUGAAAAACUCACUUUCACUUAAGCAGAAACUUCCAUUUUACAUGUCCAAAUAUGAAGAUAAAUGAAGAAAGCCCAUAUUUUUUUUGCCAUAGUUAAUCUUGACUUCAAUUGAAGGAUCAUUCUUGAUUUGUGAGUAUUCUAUGAGAUCCUCAGCUCUCAUUUAUAAAUAUGGGUUUGUUUCCAA